rnacentral:rRNA from 1 species
GCAUAUCAAUAAGCGGARGRAAARWAACUACMRGGAUUCCCCUDGUAACUGCGAGUGAAGCGGGAAAAGCUCAAAUUUAAAAUCUGGGGKUYUBYKGSCCGUCCGAKUUGUAGUCUGGAGAAGCGUUUUCCSCSUUGGACCGUGUACAAGUUUCCUGGAACGGAGCGUCAUAGAGGGUGAGAAUCCCGUCUUUGACACGGACCCCAAUGCUUUGUGAUGCGCUCUCAAAGAGUCGAGUUGUUUGGGAAUGCAGCUCAAAAAUGGGUGGUGAAUUCCAUCUAAAGCUAAAUAUUGGCGAGAGACCGAUAGCGAACAAGUACCGUGAGGGAAAGAUGAAAAAGCACUUUGGAAAGAGAGUUAAACAGUACGUGAAAUUGUUGAAAGGGAAACGCUUGAAGUCAGUYGMGUCGGCCGGGACUCAGCCUUGCAUCCGCUUGGUGUACUUUCCGGUCGACGGRCCAGCAUCAGUUUUGACCGCGAGAUAAAGGCGGAGGGAAUGUGGCUCUCUCGGGAGUGUUAUAGCCCUUCGUCAGAUGUCGCGGUUGGGACUGAGGAACUCAGCACGCCUUUAUGGCCGGGGCUCGCCCACGUACGUGCUUAGGAUGCUGGCGUAAUGGCUUUAAACGACCCGUCUUGAAACACGGACCAAGGAGUCUAACAUGCCUGCGAGUGUUCGGGUGGAAAACCCGUGCGCGCAAUGAAAGUGAAAGUUGGGAUCCCUGUCGUGGGGUGCACCGACGCCCGGCCCAGACCUUUUGUGACGGAGCUGCGGUAGAGCAUGUAUGUUGGGACCCGAAAGAUGGUGAACUAUGCCUGAAUAGGGUGAAGCCAGAGGAAACUCUGGHGGNNNCUMWAGSGAUUCUGACGUGCAAAUCGAUCGUCAAAUUUGGGUAUAGGGGCGAAAGAC